rnacentral:rRNA from 1 species
CGGUAAUUCCAGCUCCAAUAGCGUAUAUUAAAGUUGUUGCAGUUAAAAAGCUCGUAGUUGGACCUUGGGCCUGGACAGGCGGUCCGCCUCACGGCGUGUACUGUCUUGCUGGGCCUUUCCUCUUGGUGAUCUGUGGUUUCGGCCGCAGGGAACCAGGACCUUUACUUUGAAAAAAUUAGAGUGUUCAAAGCAGGCUUUACGCCAGAAUAUAUUAGCAUGGAAUAAUAAAAUAGGACGUGCGGUUCUAUUUUGUUGGUUUUUGGGAUCGCCGUAAUGAUUAAUAGGGACAGUCGGGGGCAUUAGUACUCACAUGCUAGAGGUGAAAUUCUUGGAUUUUGUGAAGACUAACUUCUGCGAAAGCAUUUGCCAAGGAUGUUUUCAUUAAUCAAGAACGAAGGUUAGGGUAUCGAAAACGAUUAGAUACCGUUGUAGUCUUAACAGUAAACUAUGCCGACUAGGGAUCGGUCGAUGUUAUUUUCUUGACUCGAUCGGCACCUUACGAGAAAUCAAAGUUUUUGGGUUCUGGGGGGAGUAUGGUCGCAAGGCUGACACUUAAAGAAAUUGACGGAAGGGCACCACCAGGAGUGGAGCCUGCGGCUUAAUUUGAUUCAACACGGGGAAACUCACCAGGUCCAGACAUAGGAGGGAUUGACAGAUUGA